rnacentral:lncRNA from 1 species
CCUCUCUUUUCUUUGUUGUUUUAAGUAAACUAAAACGAAAAUAAAAGAAAAAAUAAUAUAGAUAUAUACAAAAAGAAACGAUGAACAAAGUAGAAAACCUUCGAAAAAUAAAUUUUCUCUGUAUUUCUUUUCUAUUUCUCGUAUAUCUCCGUCCUCUUUUACACCAAAAAUCCCCUCUGUAUUUUUUUUUGUACAUGAAAAUAGGGCUUUUAUAGCCCGAAAUAAUAAAAAUAAAUCCUAUUUCGUUUGCUAUUAUCCCUUUUUCUUGCUGUUUUGUUUCUGUUUGUUGUGCAGGUGCGGCGCGCAAGCCAUGGCGCGCGUGGAGGAGUGGCGCACGUGGAGGAGAUUGGCUCCGAAGUUUGGGGCGGCUGGAGAGGGGAAGUCAUACUGCUUAGGGUUUGGGUUGGUUUAUUUUUUGCUGGGCUAGGAAUUGUUUUGGGCUUGUUUAUUUGGUUUUAGUGGCCCGGGCAAUUUGGGCUUUGUACAGUUGCCCCUCUUUGCUCAUUGUCGUGUAACGGGAAUAGAGCAAAGACUAAGAAAGACCAAUCUUGCCCGGUCAUGUUGGACUUCGACUUCAUCAGUGCUUCACUUUUCCAAGUAGCUUCAUUCCUUCCUACUGCAUCUUCAGAGGUAUAGGAACCGGCGCUUCAAUCUUCUCCACUGUAAUGUUGGGAAGAUAGAAUUCAUACAUUGUAGCAACAGGAUUUGCUAUCCUCAAUCUACUCCACUGCAACUUCAGGGAGAUAAGACUUAUAGCUUCAACUUGUUCUGCUACAACUUAAAGAUAAAUCUAACGCGAUCUGCUCUACUGCAGCUUGAGAGAGAUGCGAUCUGUGGUUUUAGUCCACUCCAUUGCAACUUUAAGGAGAUAGGAUUAUUUUCUUCUGUCUACUCCACUGCAACUUCAGGGAGAUAAGACUUGUAUUUUCAAUCUACUUCGCCACCAGUAUGGAAAGACAAGAUCUGUUUUCUUCGAUCUACUUCACGCCAAUACAUGAAGACAAGAUCUGCUAUCUUUGAUCUACUUCACGCCAUGAAGACAAGAUCUGCUAUCUUUGAUCUACUUCACGCCAUGAAGACAAGAUCUGCUAUCUUCGAUCUACUUCACGCCAAUACAGGAAGACAAGAUCUGCUUUCUUCGAUCUACUUCGCCACAAGAUCUGCUAUAUUUGAUCUACUUCACGCCAAUACAUGAAGACAAGAUCUGCUAUCUUUGAUCUACUUCACGCCAGUACAUGAAGACAAGAUCUGCUUUCUUCGAUCUACUUCGCCACCAGUAUGGGAAGACAAGAUCUGCUAUGUUUGAUCUACUUCACACCAGUACAUGAAGACAAGAUCUGUUUUCUUCAAUCUACUUCACCACCAGUAUGGGAAGACAAGAUUGCUAUCUUUGAUCUACUUCACGCCAGUACAUGAAGACAAUAUCUGCUGCUUUUCAACCUGCUCCACUGUUGCUCAGGGAGAUAAGGCUUUAUGAUUUUACCGAUCUAUUCUCUGUGAAACAUGACCUGUAUGAUUCAUCUUAUGAACCUAAUUAUGCCUAGUGAUUAGGAUGUCAUGAUCAGAAUGAAUCAAAUGCCCCUAACUAGACAUGUAUGAAUGACAUUUGAAUGAAUGCAAAAUGUCAUGAAAAUGAUAUUUUAACGCUUGAGUUAUUAUUAUUUCAAGUUUAUUAAGGUUUUAUCGCUAAUGUGCUAUAGCGCCCUUUUGCUCGGCUGGCGAACCCAAUAAGCACUUGACCAGAUUGCCCCCCACUGUAAACUUCCAAGUUUGAUCCACUGGGAUGAAAAAUUUGUACCAUCUUUUCCCAUUGUAACCCAAGAGUAAAAGAUUUGGCAUUUUCUCAAUCCUCUGUUAUCACAAUUCAAGGAUACAGGAUGUGAAACUUUUUGGUCUCUUACACCAUUCCCAAGGUGUUGUACCAAAUGCUCAUGCAUAAAUGAAGAAAUCUUCUCCAAGAACAACUUCUUCUUAUUAUUCGGUGAUCAUUGCUUGCUUGUUCAUGGAAGCUUUGUCACCAACACGACAUCUUGCCAUUUUAUUCAAUUUAGACAAGAAAAUUCGAAGGGAUAGUAUUAAUUUAAACUCUUCUUUAUCAGAUUUCCAACCUGGUGCGUUCUAAACAAUAGUCCUGUUUGAGGUUCCUAUAUUAUUCAGAAACUUCUAGAGUAAUAUGCAAAACUUCCCUUGUAAAAGUUUUAUUAGUCCAUUAAUUAUUAUUCUAAUGCAACACACUUGCAAAUAGAACAAAAUGAUGGAUAAAAUUGAAUUGGUUCUGAGCAUAACUCAAAAUGAAAUAAAUUAUAAAUGAUAAUAAAGAUGGAUAACAAAGACAUUGAUUCAGGAAUGCAUAUUUUGGAAAUGAAUAAAACGUUCCAAGAAUAACAAAGUAUAAGGAUUAGGUGCCCCAGAUAUCGCAGCUUGAACUUCUCUGUACCGACUUUCUGAAAACCAUUCUGAGUUUAACACGUGUUUAGGAGAUCUAUAGUACUUCAUCGAUGCUCCAGGAUGUCGCCUACCCUUUCCUGUUGAUUCAGGUAUAGCAAGACCACUGCAUGCCCCAUUCUGGUCAUAUUUGAGCUGCUCUGAUAACUUCAAGCGCCACCUUGAUCAACAUUUGAGCCGCCAUUUUUGGGUUUUCAACUCAAAUCCCUUUGGUCUAAGGUGCCCUUUGCGGGUUUUCACCUUGGCCUCUCCAUUUCUCUUUUUUUUUUUACUCGAGGUGCCUUUUGUAGGCUUUCACCUUGGUCCCACCUUUUUAGGAAAAAUACUUCUUAGCUGAAUUCGAGUUUAUAGAGCUUGGAAAAUCUUUACCAUUCAUCUCACUCAGCAUCAAGAUUUCCCUAGAAAAGACUUUCUUUAUGUCAUACGGACCCUCCUAAAUUGGCAUCCAUCUUCCUCUAAAAUCCUUUUUUGUAGAAGGAGGAUCUUCAACAUUUGGUCACCUUCGUGGAAUUCUCUAAGAUGAACCUUUUGCUAUAGGCUCGCAUCAUUCAUUUCUUGGUACAUCUGACCUUGAUGAAUAGUUUCUAGCCUUUUUCUUCAACUAGGUUCAACUAAUUGUACCGAGAUUGGAUCUUCAUCCUACUUCAGCUCAGCCAAGACUCAAAGAGAAAGAAUUUCAACUUCAAUGAAAAACCUGAUAAACUGGAAAGAGUGGCAUUGCCCCAGUAGAGUUUUCAUUACACCAUUCAUGAUAUUCACCUUGAACAUACCGUAAAUUUUUGAUAUCGUACUGUUGUUCAGAUUGCAAUGACAGCGCUUAAAACGGGCACAUCCUGGUAUGACCAUACGAAGACAUCUUUGAACUCUCGAAGUAACUCAAUAAUGUCUUGCUUUAUUUCUUCGGUCAUGCAUGUUCCCUCGAGGUCACAGUCUCUAUUAUCUCCUCAUGAGGUAAAUUUGUUUCUCUUAUUGUUCUACCAUCCUCAAUAAGUCCAGAAAUAAGCUACGAUCAAUGUCAUCUUCAAAGUUGUGAGAUCCCUCUAAACACAUGUCUCACUCAAAAGGAGAUUCUAAAUCUGUAGCAGUGUCAUUCAUGUCAUUGAUAUUUGGGGACCCAUAGUGGGUACCAAAAAAAUAUAAAAAAGAAUGUAUGAAUAAUAUGAAUAAACGAACGAAUGAUUUGGCAGGAGAAAUCCAAUAGAAUGAAGAAAACGUAAAGACUGAAAGAACAUUUGCUCAAAGAUGAUUGCAAGAAUGUAUUCAUUAAAAAUAAUAAUGUUCAGACAUGAGCCUAUUUCACAAAGGAGUUCUUAUUGCUUCUAGGCUAAAAGCAACAAAUGUGUUCUGAACAUUACUCUAACAGACUCUAAAUAAUAUAGGGGUUUCCUCUGCAGUCCCAUUAUUUUUAACACCUCCCAGGCGAAUAUCUGACCAGAAAGCAUUGCAUUCCCUCCAUUAUCAAUCAUGAUUGGGUAAUGGAUUUUUUGCACUUGAUGAGUCACCAAACUUGACAACACCCAUGUCGAUGAGUUUUUCAACUUGCUUCUUGAAGGCAGUGCAAUUCUCAAUCGAGUGUCCCGUAAUUCCUGCAUAGUAUUCACAUUGCGCGUUCGCAUCAUACCAUUUGGGAUACGGAGGUUGUAGAGGCUUCACAGGAAAAGGGGAAACAACAUGGGCAUCAAACAGAAUUUGAUACAGUUUUCUAUAUGGUACUGGAAUCGGCGUGAAUCGGGGCCUCUCUGUAUUUUGUCCUGUACCAGCUUCCUGUCUCGAUGAACCUUGCUGGUUAGCAGCCACCUUUCUUGGCUGACUUACAGUAACUGAUUUAGAGUAACCCAUGUUGUUCACCUCAUCUUCUCUUCUCCUUGAGACUGACCUCUUGUUACUCUCUCCAGCAUCGAUCUUUCCAUUUCUUAUGGCAUUUUCGAUCAUCUCGCCAUCCAUGAUUAUGUCGGGAAAGCUUUUUGUGGCACUCCCCAACAUAUGUGUAAUGAAUGGUGCCUUCAGUGUGUUAAUGAACAGCAUGUUUAUUUCUUUUUCCAAGAGUGGUGGCUGACCUUGGACUGCGACCUCCCUCCAUCUCUGUGCAUAUUGCCUAAAGCUUUCGCUCGGCUUCUUCUCCAUAUUCUGAAGGGUGAUUCUAUCAGGAGCCAUGUCUGUCACAUGACUAUAUUGUUUCAUGAAUGCUUGCGCCAAGUCCCUCCAUGAACCAAUCGUGGCACAACUCAAUUGAUUGUACCAUUUGGAUGCUGCCCCUGUAAGGCUGUCUUGGAAACAAUGUAUCAAGAGUUGGUCGUUGUUAACAUAUCCCGCCAUUCACCUGCAGAACAUGGUGAUAUGAGCCUCUGGGCAAGUCGUCCCAUUGUACUUCUCGAAUUCAGGCAUCUUAAAUUUAUGAGGAAGUACAAGGUCUGGCACUAAACUCAGCUCUUUUGCGUCAAUGCCUCGAUAACUUUCAGUGACUUCCAUCGCCUUGAACUUCUCCUCGAGCCACUUGCAUCUUUCCUCUAACUGUCUCGGUAACUCCUCCUUCACUCUUUCCCUCUCAACCACUUCAUCAAAGUCAGGAAUGGCAGAGUUAAUAGGAUUAUUUUCGGGAUUAAAACCCGGCCCAGUUUGGAGGUUCGAAACACCAGCUUGAAAUUGCUGAGGCAUGAUGGUGACAAUAGAUUUGCGCGGGUAUUCAGCUUGAGCUCGCUCAUGCGGAGGGGUGAAACCUGGAGGAUAGAAAAGUUCAUCAUCAUUUCCCUCAUCGACAUCUGCCAUGGGGCCCUUUCCUUUGUCACCUCCCUUAGUUAUCAGUCGGGUUAACUUUGCCACUAUAUCCUCUUGAGAUUCCCGCAUCUUCUCAAACAUUUCUUGCUUCAUCUUGUCUAACCGCUCCUGCAUUUGUAGCUAAAGCCGGUCUUGCAUCUCAUUCUGGUACUGUUCGAGCUUUUCUAAUCUCUGAUCCAUAUCUUUUGUCUUUGCUCGAGUGCCGUAUCGGUGUUGGGUUGGUUGGUUGGAUUCCAGGUUAACUGAGCAAUGAUUUUAGUUAAUUAGGAUCUUUGAAUAAUCUUUGAUGCAUAUGAUGUAAUGAAAUGCGAAUGCAUGAAAUGAAUACAUAAAGAGACGUUGAUUCUGAUUCAAUUCCAUUUAGAAAACCUUACUAAAGGACAAAUUUCUUUACAUAAAGUGGAUAUAUAUACGGCUUUGCCCUCAUACUCGAAGCAAAGACAUCUUCUCCUUUUUCAUCCGGAUGUUAAGAUAAACCUCGCGAACUUCCAAUGGAUGUCACUGCUAGCUCCUUCUGCUUGAUUCUAGUCGCAAUCCGUUGUUUGCCUAUCCUCGUAAUGCUCAUUAGCUUCUUUAAGAAAUUUGGAAUGUUGAAAGCUCUUAGACAAAUCAUCUUGAAUCCUUGGGCCCCAAAGUAAAGUCACGAAUUCUUCCAUCGCCCUUCUUGUAUUUCUUGGAAUAUAUUCAGGCUGCCGUACUAUUUUCCAUUUUAUCAAGAAACCCGUUUUCUUAUGAUAGGCUUUCUAAACUAGUAAUCAAACUUGAAUCAACAUCUCUUUUCUACAAUGCAAAUGCAAUGCAAUCAUAACCAAAACAAAACAAAACGGGUUAGUAUCGGGUAUAAACAUUAAAUCCAAUACAAUCAAGAAAUAAUAAAACUCCUAGUCAGGUAUCUACUAAGGUUUAGAGUAAUUCUACCUAGGGUAAGUUCCUAAGGUUCACUAUAUGCAGUUUGGUUUUUAAGGUAAAGGUACUCGAACCAGCAGAUUCCUCGAUCUUCACCCAUUAUAGGCUCAUAUGGAUCGAGUUUAGUUCAGGGGAAUACAUUUUCCUAUGGCUGCACGGAGAUGAAAAUCUCACGAAGACAUAGGUACAGAUGUAUCCCGGAAGCGGUCCACUACCCUGCACGGAGAUGAAAACCUCACGAAGGACUAGUUUCUCGCUCCCACUUAAAGGGUGAAAUGGAAAAUGCAAAUGCAAAGUUGCCAAAAUACCAUGAUAAAACAUCAAUGAGUGCGAAGGGAACUCAUGAAUUUUUUUAAAAACUUUUGAUUUUCGACACAAAGACAAAUAUGAUCAGUUUAUGGCUCAACUCUCUAAUUUCCCUAGUGGAGUCGCCAAGCUGUCGAAACCGUUUUUUAAAAACAAAAAUUUUUAGUUUCGACUUAAAAAUAAAAACUGGAGUCGCUACCGAUCCUUUAUUAAGGUGUGAUCGGCCCACCUUAAAAAUAAUUUUGGUCUGCGAAAUUUGAGAAAAUAGAUUCGGGAGUCAGUUACGCACGAGGAAAGAUUACCACCCUCGUAACGCCCAAAAUUGGUACCAAAUUGAUUUUUUAAAUGCCUUGGUGUCGAAAAUUUGAAAAGAUUUUAAAAGGAAACUUUUUAUUUCAUGAGUGGAUUAAAAUAAUAAGACAAUUCUUAUUUCAAAGAAAUAAAACACCACACCCAGUAAGUUAGGGCACAAUGUUUUUAAAUCUUCAAAAUACCCGAAUAUUGCCUUUUGCUUUUGAAAAUUCUUAUUUCGAGAAGUCAAAAUAUCAGGACCAGUAAGUUAGGACCCAACAUUUUGAACUCCCAAGAAUAAGCUUUUAUUUAAAAUUUGCGAAUUUAAUGCAAAAUGAAUACUUAGCGUUCUAAAUUCAUCGAAGAAUAAUAGCAAUCCUGUAAGUUAGGAUACGGUUUUUUCUCAAGAAUCAUAAAUGCCAAAUAUUUGAAAAUUUAUAAAAGACGAUGAUUUAAUCACUUUGUCAAGACCAAAAUAUAUUUUCUUUAGAAAUGUGGUCAAUAUUAAUGCAUGGCAUGAAACCAUCACUUCAAUUUAAACUACAUAUGUAUAUACAUGUCUACAAAAAAAGAAAAAAAAUUGAAACAAAAAUAUAAGAGUGUAUAUAUAGAGAGAGAUUAAGAAAUAAAAUAGAAAUAAAACAUGUGAAAAAUAUAUAACAUACGCAUACUAUAAAAAUAUACCUAUAUAUAUAUAUAUUAAAAAAACUAUGCGUAUGCACUAUAUAUAAAAAUACAUAUAAUAUUAAUGAUGGUAAUAAAUAAUAUAACAAUAAUAAUAAAUAAUGGGAGAAAACAAAUUAAAAAAAACAACCAAUCGCAAAAAAAAAAGGACUAAAUAGUUAAAAAUUAAAAUAACUAGAAAUAAAUGAAAUUUAGGCAAACUAAUGGGCCAAAUCGCGACACGCGAGUUACAUGGAGGGCCAAAUCGGAAAUAAGCCACCUCUCCAAAACGGUGUGCAGUGAUAUGGGCUGAAAUGAACAACGACAGAAAUAUGUGGGCCAAAUUAAAAAUAAACAAAAACUGAUUCGAAAGCGAUUUAAAAAAUUGAAGGACCGAAUGCGCAAAUAGACGAUCUAAGGUCAGGACGCGCGGACCCUGCCUGCGGGUCGGGUCAACGCGCGGAUCCUGCUUCUAAAACGGCGCCGUUUUGUUUUUACUAUAAAAGGCCAAACUUUUCACCAAAAUUCAUUUUUUCCCUUUUUUAAAAGCAAUAGCAGAGAAACUCUCUGCUAGGGUUUCUUUUCCAUGCCGCCGCCGCCGCUCAAGCCAUUCCACGGCCUCCGACGAUGCUCCGACCUCCGAUCGCGACGGAGGGGGACCGAUUCGACGGUUUCAGCUAAAGGCAAGCCUUUUCCUCUCUUUUCUUUGUUGUUUUAAGUAAACUAAAACGAAAAUAAAAGAAAAAAUAAUAUAGAUAUAUACAAAAAGAAACGAUGAACCAAGUAGAAAACCUUCGAAAAAUAAAUUUUCUCUGUAUUUCUUUUCUAUUUCUCGUAUAUCUCCGUCCUCUUUUACACCAAAAAUCCCCUCUGUAUUUUUUUUUGUACAUGAAAAUAGGGCUUUUAUAGCCCGAAAUAAUAAAAAUAAAUCCUAUUUCGUUUGCUAUUAUCCCUUUUUCUUGCUGUUUUGUUUCUGUUUGUUGUGCAGGUGCGGCGCGCAAGCCAUGGCGCGCGUUGAGGAGAUUGGCUCCGAAGUUUGGGGCGGCUGGAGAGGGGAAGUCAUACUGCUUAGGGUUUGGGUUGGUUUAUUUUUUGCUGGGCUAGGAAUUGUUUUGGGCUUGUUUAUUUGGUUUUAGUGGCCCGGGCAAUUUGGGCUUUGUACAAUUAAUAUUUAUUAAUUAAAAAAUUUUACAAUUUAUAUUUUAUAUAUUUUAAUAUUAACAAGUUAUAAUAA